rnacentral:rRNA from 1 species
UUGUCCUACGGGGGGCAGCAGUGAGGAAUAUUGGUCAAUGGGCGCAAGCCUGAACCAGCCAAGUCGCGUGAGGGAAGACGGUCCUAUGGAUUGUAAACCUCUUUUGCCGGGGAGCAAUGCAGGCCUUGCGAGGCCUGAGGGAGAGUACCCGGAGAAAAAGCAUCGGCUAACUCCGUGCCAGCAGCCGCGGUAAUACGGAGGAUGCGAGCGUUAUCCGGAUUUAUUGGGUUUAAAGGGUGCGUAGGCGGGCUGUUAAGUCAGCGGUCAAAUGUCGGGGCUCAACCCCGGCCUGCCGUUGAAACUGG